rnacentral:rRNA from 1 species
UACGAAGGGGGCUAGCGUUGUUCGGAAUUACUGGGCGUAAAGGGUGCGUAGGCGGGUUUUAAGUCAGAGGUGAAAUCCUGGAGCUCAACUCCAGAACUGCCUUUGAUACUGAAAGUCUUGAGUAUGGGAGAGGUGAGUGGAACUGCGAGUGUAGAGGUGAAAUUCGUAGAUAUUCGCAAGAACACCAGUGGCGAAGGCGGAUUCACUGGUCCGGUUCUGGACGCUGAGGUGCGAAAGCGUGGGGAGCAAACAGGG